rnacentral:rRNA from 1 species
UACGGUGGGCGCAAGCGUUGUUCGGAAUCACUGGGCGUAAAGCGCGUGUAGGCGGCUUGGUAAGUCGGGUGUGAAAGCCCGGGGCCUAACCCCGGAACUGCACUCGAAACUGCCUCGCUAGAGUCUCGGAGAGGGUGGUGGAAUUCCCGGUGUAGAGGUGAAAUGCGUAGAUAUCGGGAGGAACACCAGCGGCGAAGGCGGCCACCUGGACGAUGACUGACGCUGAGACGCGAAAGCGUGGGGAGCAAACAGG